AGUGAACGCUGGCGGUAGGCCUAACACAUGCAAGUCGAACGGCAGCACAGUAAGAGCUUGCUCUUACGGGUGGCGAGUGGCGGACGGGUGAGGAAUACAUCGGAAUCUACUUUUUCGUGGGGGAUAACGUAGGGAAACUUACGCUAAUACCGCAUACGACCUACGGGUGAAAGCAGGGGAUCUUCGGACCUUGCGCGAUUGAAUGAGCCGAUGUCGGAUUAGCUAGUUGGCGGAGUAAAGGCCCACCAAGGCGACGAUCCGUAGCUGGUCUGAGAGGAUGAUCAGCCACACUGGAACUGAGACACGGUCCAGACUCCUACGGGAGGCAGCAGUGGGGAAUAUUGGACAAAGGGCGCAAGCCUGAUCCAGCCAUACCGCGUGGGUGAAGAAGGCCUUCGGGUUGUAAAGCCCUUUUGUUGGGAAAGAAAAGCAGCAGGUUAAUACCCCGCUGUUCUGACGGUACCCAAAGAAUAAGCACCGGCUAACUUCGUG
rnacentral:rRNA from 1 species